rnacentral:rRNA from 1 species
AACGAACGCUGGCGGCAGGCUUAACACAUGCAAGUCGAGCGCCCCGCAAGGGGCGCGGCCGACGGGUGAGUACCGCGUGGGAGCGUACCUUUUGGUUCGGAACAACUCCGGGAAACUGGAGCUAAUACCGGAUAAGCCCUAACGGGGAAAGAUUUAUCGCCGAAAGAUCGGCCCGCGUCUGAUUAGCUAGUUGGUGAGGUAACGGCUCACCAAGGCGACGAUCAGUAGCUGGUCUGAGAGGAUGAUCAGCCACACUGGGACUGAGACACGGCCCAGACUCCUACGGGAGGCAGCAGUGGGGAAUAUUGGACAAUGGGCGCAAGCCUGAUCCAGCCAUGCCGCGUGAGUGAUGAAGGCCUUAGGGUUGUAAAGCUCUUUUGUCCGGGAAGAUAAUGACUGUACCGGAAGAAUAAGCCCCGGCUAACUUCGUG